AUUCUUUGGUUGACUUUGGAUAUAGCAGCUGAAAACCCUGAGAGUCCCCAAAGAGUUCCAAGCUUUCACCAUGACUGCUGGGUGGGGGUGAUGCUCCUUCAGUGUUGGUGAAGACUUAAGUCUUUUCCUCAUCUCUUUCCUGAUGUUUGGGGCCUUCUCCAUGGGCCGGAACUUGGGCCAGGGUCUUGGAAGAGCCUCUCCUCUCUCAUAACCUCACGCAAGCUGAUUAAUGAAAACAAACUUUUUUUUUUUUUUUUAGUUUACUUAUUUGACUUCCUUUAUAAACGUUUCCAACCAGGUUUUAUGCCUGGUAAUGAAAUUAUGCUUAUUUUUAAACUUCUAAAAAUGUUUCCGUCAUCCUUGAGUUGGCUGGAAUUUCAAUUUAUUCAGGCAUGGAUUAUUCAAAAAGAAGCUUGCUGUAUUUGGCAAAUGGCGGCUCCAUUCAUGGGUUCUGUGAAGGGCUGGGAGCCAAGUGUUGAGAGAAGGAAAGCUGGUGUGCGUGAUCUGUGCUGAUGAAUUGAGGGUGGCUGGGGGAGCCCAUCAGCCGUGCUGAGUGACAUUCCACAGAGUUAGCCUCAGCAGAUGUCCUGUACAGAGGGCUUUGUGGUACCCACACAAGUUAUGAACUCUGGAGUCUGUAGCUAUGAAGAGGUAUUUCAAGAAAGAAAUUCCUUCUGCAUUCAUCCUCUUUCUGGUGCAUCUAAUACUUUCCCUGUGGAUGGAGGAAUUUUGUAUGGUGCUAAGUAUCACCUGAUGAAAUAGUUACUUUAGGCCGGCGUGGUGGCUCAUGCCUGUAAUCCCAGCACUUCCGGAGGCCAAGGUGGACGGAUCACUUGAGGUCAGGAGUUCGAGACUAGCCUGGCCAACAUGGUGAAAUCCUGUUUCUACUAAGAAUACAAAAAUUAGCUGUGUGUGGUGGUGCAUACCUGUAAUCCCAGCUACUCGGGAGGCUGAGACAGGAGAAUCACUUGAACCUGGGAGGCAGAAGUUGUAGUGAGCUGAGAUGGUGCCACGACACUCCAGCCUGGGACACAGAGUGAGACUCUCUCAAAAAAAUAAAUAAAAAGAAAUAGUUACUUUAAUUGCUUGUUAUACUAGUAGUGGACAAGAAUAGGGCCUCUGAAUGGCUAGAUGAAAACAACAAUAAGAAAACCACAAUUUUCUAUGUCGUCAUAACUGGAUAAUCAUUUAGGGUGAAGGUGGAUUCUAAAACAUCUUUGGUAGCUGAAGUUACCUCCUUUCUUGUUCUUUCACUUCCGUGCAUGGAUCUCUUGCUUACUAUAGUAAUGUGCAUAAGCAUAUUCCGUAAGAUGUGCAUAAGAUCUGCCUUUUGCAUAAGAUGUGCAUAUGUUAAACAGGGAAUCCUUUCCCCAUUGCUUGUUUUUGUCAGGUUUGUCAAAGAUCAGAUGGUUGGAGAUGUGUGGCGUUAUUUCUGAGGCCUCUGUUCUGUUCCAUAGGUCUAUAUAUCUGUUUUGGUACCAGUUCCAAGCUGUUUUAGCUACUGUAGCCUUGUAGUAUAGUCUGAAGUCAGGUAGUGUGAUGCCUCCAGCUUUGUUCUUUUUGCUUAGGAUUGUCUUGGCUAUAUGGGCUCGUUUUUGGUUCCAUAUGAAAUUUAAAGUAGUUUUUUUCUAAUUCUGUGAAGUAAGUCAAUGGUAGCUUAAUGGGGAUAGCAUUGAAUCUAUAAAUUACUUUGGGCAGUAUGGCCAUUUUCAUGAUAUUGAUUCUUCCUAUCCAUGAGCAUGGAAUGUUUUGCCAUUUCUUUGUUUCUUCUCUUAUUUCCUUGAGCAGUGGUUUGUGGUUCUCCUUGAAGAGGUCCUUCACAUCCCUUGUAAGUUGUAUUCCUAGGUAUUUUAUUCUCUUUGUAGCAAUUGUGAAUGAGAGUUCACUCAUGAUUUAGCUCUCUGUUUGUCUAUUAUUGGUGUACAGGAAUGCUUGUGAUUUUUGCAAAUUGAUUUUGUAUCUUGAGACUUUGCUGAAAUUGCUUAUCAACUUAAGGACAUUUUGGGCUGAGACAAUGGGGUUUUCUAAAUAUACACUCAUGUCAUCUGCAAACAGAGACAAUUUGACUUCCUCUCUUCCUAUUUGAAUACCCUUUCCUCUCUUCCUAAUUGAAUACCCUUUAUUUCCUUCUCCUGCCUAAUUGUCCUGGCCAGAACUUCCAAUACUAUGUUGAAUAGGAGUGGUGAGAAAGGGCAUGCUUGUCUUGAGCCAGUUUUCAAAGGGAAUGCUUCCAGCUUUUGCCCAUUCAGUAUGAUAUUGGCUAUGGGUUUGUCAUAAAUAGCUCUUAUUAUUUUGAGAAACAUUCCAUUAAUACGUAGUUUAUUGAGAGUUUUUAGCAUGAAGGGGUGUUGAAUUUUAUGGAAGGUCUUUACUGCAUCUAUUGAGAUAAUCAUGUGGUUUUUGUCAUUGGUUCUGUUUAUGUGAUGGAUUACGUUAACUGAUUUGCCUAUGUUGAACCAGCCUUGCAUCCCAGGGAUGAAGUUGACUUGUUCGUGGUGGAUAAGCUUUUUGAUGUGCUGCUGGAUUUGGUUUGCCAGUAUUUUAUUAUCAAUGUUCAUCAGAGAUAUUGGUCUAAAAUUCUCUUUUUGUGUGUCUCUGCCGGCUUUGGUAUCAGGAUGAUGCUGGCCUCAUAAAAUGAGUUAGGGAGGAGUCCCUCCUUUUCUAUUGUUUGGAAUAGUUUCAGAAGGAAUGGUACCAGCUCCUCUUUGUACCUCUGGUAGAAUUCAGCUGUGAAUCCAUCUGGUCCUGGGCUUUUUUGGUUGGUAGGCUAUUAAUUACUGCCUCAAUUUCAGAACUUGUUAUUGGUUUAUUCAGGGAUUCGGCUUCUUCCUGGUUUAGUCUUGGGAGUGUGUAUGUGCCCAGGAAUUUAUCCAUUUCUUCUAGAUUUUCUAGUUUAUUUGCAUAGAGGUGUUUAUAGUAUUCACUGAUGGUAGUUUUUAUUUCUGUGGGAUCAGUGGUGAUAUCCCCUUUAUCACUUUUUAUUGUGUGAAAACUGGCUAGCCAUAUCAGAAAACUGAAACUAGACCUCUUCCUUACACCUUACACAAAAAUUAACUCAAGAUGGAUUAAGGACUUAAACGUAAGACCUAAAACCAUAAAAACCCUAGAAGAAAACCUAGGCAAUACCAUUCAGGACACAGGCAUGGGCAAAGACUUCAUGACUAAAAUACCAAAAGCAAUGGGAACAAAAGCCAAAAUUGACAAAUGGGAUCUAAUUAAACUAAAGAGCUUCUGCACAGCAAAAGAAACUAUCAUCAGAAUGAACAGGCAAGCCACAGAAUGGGAGAAAAUUUUUGCAAUCUGUCCAUCUGACAAAGGGCUAAUAUCCAGAAUCUACAAAGAACUUAAACAAAUUUACAAGAAAAAAAACAAACAAUCCCAUCAAAAAGUGGGCAAAGGAUAUGAACAGACACUUCUCAAAAGAAGACAUUUAUGCGGCCAACAAACACAUGAAAAAAAGCUCAUCAUCACUGAUCAUUAGAGAAAUACAAAUCAAAACCACGAUGAGAUACCAUCUCAUGCCAGUUAGAAUGGAUCAUUAAAAAGUCAGGAAAACAAAUGCUGGAGAGGAUGUGGAGAAACAGGAACACUUUUACACUGUUGGUGGGAGUGUAAAUUAGUUCAACCAUUGUGGCAGACAGUGUGGCAAUUCCUCAAGGAUCUAGAUCCAGAAAUACCAUUUGACCCAGCAAUCCCAUUACUGGGCAUAUACCCAAAGGAUUAUAAGUCAUUCUACUAUGAAGACACAUGCAUGUGUAUGUUUAUUGCAGCACAGUUCACAACAGCAAAGACUUGGAACCAACCCAAAUACUCAUCAAUCAUAGACUGGAUAAAGAAAAUGUGGCACAUAUACACCAUGGAAUAUUAUCCAGCCAUAAAAAAGAAUGAGUUCAUGUCCUCUGCAGGGACAUGGAUGAAGCUGGAAACCAUCAUGCUCAGCAAACCAACACAAGAACAGAAAACCAAACACCGCAUGUUCUCAAUCAUAAGUGGGAGUUGAACAGUGAGCACACAUGGACACAUGGAGGGGAAUAUCACACACUGGGGCCUGUCGGGGGGUGGGGAGCUAGGGGAGGGAUAGCAUUAGGAGAAAUACCUAAUGUAGAUGAUGGGUUGGUAGGUGCAGCAAACCAUCAUGGCACGUGUACAGCUAUGUAACAAUCCUGCACGUUCUACACAUGUAUCCUAGAACUUAAAGUAUAAUAAUAAUAAAAGAUGUGCAUAUGUUCUGCAUCUUGCAUAGGAUCCCUGGGUAAGACUUGACUGUGUUGGGAUCCUUUUACUUAAUGAACUUUUGAUAGCUGAGCUUUGUUCCAUGUUGAGUUACCAUUAUUGUUUUAAAUCAUUAAAACUGUCAUUUAAAAUAGUCUUUAAAGCAGAAAAGGACACAACCUAGUCUAUCCAUCUAUUUGGAUCUUCCAGUCUGAAGUGCACAUAUUACAUAGCAGCAAACAACAGUCUUUCUCCAACCACUUGGUUAAGUGAUGACCACUGUCCUUUCCCCCUGAUUCUUUUUUUCUUUUUUUAAGGUAUGCACUUUUAUUCAACUGGUCUUAAGUCAGUGUACAGGUAAGCCCUGGCUGCCUCCACACCUCCACCCCCUCCCAGGGAGACCAAAAGCAUUCAUACAUCGCAAGUUGGGAGACAAAAAAGGGGGGCCACGAUGGCUGAUCAUUCAAAAUAAAAAAGUAUUAAAUUGAAGAUUAAAAAAAUUACAUUACCUUAUUUACAUUGAAAGCACUGCUAUCACCUCCCAUGUGUGGGACUCGGGAGAGGACUGGGCCAUUCUCCUUAGAGAGAAGUGGGGUGGUUUUGGGGAUGGCAAGCGUCUUCCUGUAACAAUGCAUCUCACGAUAUUUGGAAUGACUUAAAAAAAGAUUAAUCAAAGUCCUCAGACACAUUGCAGAACUUUGGGGGAUGCUCACUCCAACUGACUGCUGUCACCUUCAUCGGUCUAGUUUUUUUAAAUCCUGAGUCAAUCCAAAAACAAAACAAAACAAAAGCCUUGCCAAUCUUGUUUUUUGCCCAUAGAUAGGUUUUGGCAAGAAAGGGUAUAACGCAACUAAGUAACAGUCUGCCUAGAGGCAUUUGCAGCGGACAGCGGAGGGGCUGGACUCGUAUUCCCGCUUGCUGAUCCACAUCUGCUGGAAGGUGGACAGUGAGGCCAGGAUGGAGCCUGCCCUGGAUUCUGACUUCAAUUCCUAACUCCCCUCUCCUUGCUCUUUCUGCUUCAGCCCAAGUGACCUGCUUAACGUGCCAGGGCACACGGCAGGACAGGGACUUUGCACUUGCUGUUUCUUCAGUCUGAUGGCUCCUCUCCAGCUAUCUGCAUGACUCGUCCUUGCUUCCUCCAGGUCUUUGUUCAAAUGUCAUCCUCUUAGUGAGGCCUCCCCUGGCCGCUCUGUCUAAAGUUCGCCUUGCACCCGGCACUUUCUGUUCUCCUUCCUUGCUUUAUAUUUCUCCCACAUAUUUAUUGCUAUACUAUAAAUAUAUACAUACUGUAUUUUUUAGUUUUGGCUCAUUUUAGUGUUGAUCUUCCCAGGCAGAAUGUGAGGACAGAAUUUUUGUUUGUUUUGCUCUCUGUUGCAUUAGGGCACAUGACAAGUAUUUAAUAUAAAUUUUUGAAUGAAUGAAUGAAUGAAUAGGGUCCAGGUUCUCUGCUGGUCACAACUGAUCAAGUCAAAUAUGGUUUUUCAUUGCAAGGAGUUUAUGUCUCAUGAGGAUGGCAGAUAUUUAAGUAAUUAAAAUGUGUCCACACAUAAACCUGCAUACAGAUGUUUAUGGCAGCUUUAUCCACAAUUCCCGAAAUUUGGAAGCAACCAUGGUGUCCUUCAGUAUGUGAAUGGAUAAAUAAGCUUGAGGACAUCCAGACAAUGAAAUAUUUAUUCAGUACUAAAAAUAGCUAUCAAGCCAUGAAAAGAUGUGGAACAAAGUUAAAUGCAUUUUACUAAGUGAAUGAAGCCAAUCUAAAAAGGCUAUAUACUAUAAUAAUUCCAACUAUAUGACAUUCUGGAAAAGGCAAAACCAUGAAGAUAGUAAAAAGACCAGUGGUUUCCAGUGCUUAGGGACAGUGAGUGAUGAAUAGAUGGAGCAUAGAGGAGUUUUUUUUUUUUAAGCAGUGGAACUACUGUGUAUGAUACAAUAAUGGUAGAUAUAUGUCAUUAUACAUUUGUCCAAACCCAUAGACUAUGAAUGAAUCCUGAUGUAAACUAUGGACUUUGAGUGAUAAUGAUAUGUUCAUGUAGGUCCAUGAAUUGUUUUAAAUGUACCACUCUGGUAGGGGAUGUUGAUGGUGGGGGGUGUUGAUAACAUGGGGAGUGGCAGGGGCAUAUGUGAGAUCUCUGUACCUUCCCCUCAACUUUGCUGUGAAUGUAAAAUUACCUAAAAAAUAGUCUAUUAAAAAUGUGCAAAUAAUUUGUGAGAAAAUCUAAGUGUCUCCAAGAUCAUGAGUUUGAACUUGAAAAUGGCUGUCUAUACAAAAAAAAAAAAAAAAAAAAGAAAGGGGUCACUGCAGGGGUGAGAAGGAAUAGCAGUGGAGCCUAAUCCGGUCUUCCUGUGGAAGUGAUGUUUAAACCAACACCUGAGCUUUAUGUGAGGGGCCAGAGGCAAGAGAGAGUAUGGCAGUUGCCAGUUCCAGGUGGCUGGAGCUGGGACGCAAGAAGUGAGAAGGGUCCAGAUGUUAAAUGAAGCUCAAGGUGGCAGGGGGAGCGGGGUGGAUGCAAAGAUCUGGCAUGAAAUCUUCAGGAGACUGAGCAACAGGGAGCCAUAGAGGGGUCUGAAGCAGGAAAAUGACAUGACCAGAAUAGUAUUUUAGCCAGAUUUGAGAGAAGCAAGAAGAAAAGUUAAAAUGAAACAGAUCUCAAUGUGUGCAGACUGUCAAAUCUGUCUCUAGGAGAACUGAUUCACUCUGGACAGACAAAAAUAGUAAGCACAUAGAGUACAAGUGAAAUUUUCUUGGGGUCCUUACAGCUCUGGGAACACUGAGCCCAUCCCUGCCUCAGCAUUUCACCCACCAUGUCCCCUUACUGAAAAUGUUCUUUUCUUCCAUCCACAGCCACUCAUCCUUCACAAAUACAGUUGCAGUCUACUUCCUCUGGAGAACUCUUUCUGUCCUCAUUGGUAUUUCUUUCCUUUGAUUUCCUAAAGCACUAAGGUGCACACCAUGCAACUUAGCUCUUAAUGGUCUACCUUACUGAAUAAUCUGAUACCUUAGUAACCCAAGUAGAAUGUUCUUUCCUGACUAACAAAGACUCCAUACCCCACCCACCUCCUCACUACCUACCAGGUUCUUCCAAAAUGUAUCAAAUAAUUUAGGUCCAGAGUAUUGAAUAUAACCUGGCAGUCUGCAAUCUUAGAAUGACUCUUCAAAGACUCACACUUUAUAAAUGAGAACAUCUGGACAUGAGUAGGUCAGCAGGGAAAGCCAGGAGAACUAGGCUUUGGAGUUAUUAUCUAGCUAUAAUUUAGUUGAGUGACCCCAUGCCAAAAAAAUCAGAAGACCCUCUAUGACAGUUGAGCAUUUGUGAAGAACAAAGGCAGAAUAUCCAAAACGUAAGGACAAAUCUUAAAUAUAGUAAAAAAUUAGGCAACUGCCACAUGAAAACACCUAGUAGAAUCUGAAAAACAAACUUCAGUGAAAUUUGGCCAACUGUGUAAAUGACCACAGACCUCAGUAUGGUCAGUAUUGAUAUCCAAAAUAAUGGAGUAAAAUAUAUAAAAACAGCUCUAUUUCUGGAGUAAGAUGUCAGAGCAUUCCCUCCCUCCCUUCCUCCCUCCCUCCCUCCCUUCCUCCCUUCCUCCUUUCCUCCCUUCCUUCCUUUCCUCCUCCUCCCUGUCUCCCUCCCUACCUGGUGUUGAAAAUAUUAUCAAUAGACCUAUUAACAAUUACUGCAUUCACGUAUUCUUCCAGUGUCUUUUUAUUGGCUGUCAAGGACCAUUAAAUGGAUCAACAUAAAACAGUGUGCUACCUCUUGACUCCAGUUUCAAAAUCUCAGUAUAUUUCAGUAAACUAUCUCUUUAGUGAGAGUGAUGAUGUUUGACCAUAAGGCCUUGUUGAGAGUGACAACAAUGAAUGGGUUACACAUUGCUGAUCUAGAUCAAGAAGCUUGUCAGAUGUUACAGUAUGCUCACACAUUAAAGUUACACUAUGCGGCAAUUACCCUAAGUUUAUUUUGUGUCAGUUACAGCAUGAUGGGGAUGCCAAUCACAGAGCUCUCCUUGCAGGUAGGUUAGCAUUUCUAUUCUAGGUCCCCAUAUUCAAAAGCGUUCAUAACUUGGUCAUAAAAACUAAUCAUGGAAU
rnacentral:lncRNA from 1 species